rnacentral:tRNA from 1 species
CUGAAAUUAUAGAUAAACUAUUCCCUG